AGGGCGCCACCCAUCAGUUUCCCUUUUCAGCAAUAGAGGCCUUGGAGGCCUUUCUACCUGCGUUGCAUCCUGUGGCUGGACCACUCCAACGAUCUCGGCAGAAUCGUUACACAGGAAGAAGUCUGGCUGGCCCCAAGCCUGGUGCAAAAUGAAGAAAUGGCACUCCACAUCAAUUCAUCUUUACUUGUCGUCAUAGCCAGUCUGUUAGCUUAAUUUUUGGUUCUUCCUAUUGAAUUCUCAAGAAAGGUACCAACUCUGUCAUUCAUUGAAAACAAAUUUUUGCACUUGAGGAUGCAGCCUUGCACAAAGCCUUUGAGCUCAUUAAUAUCUUUAUUUUUUAAAGAAAGUGCAGCUCCUGCGUGGAGCAAUAGGUUGAAUAAGACGAGGGUAAAUGAAAA
rnacentral:lncRNA from 1 species